rnacentral:rRNA from 1 species
AUGCGGGAGGAGAUUACAGCGAUUGCUUACAUUGCUAAAAGGUCCCAAACAUUAUUUGAGGUAUACAUGAGGAAUGAGGAGACCACCUCUGUCCGCGCUGACAUUAAUAAAGUGAUUGCUUGUGGCACAACAGAAGGCAGUGAUGAGCACUUCAUCACUACCCAGCUGUUCAUCAACAGAGAACAAACUGAGAUGUUUCUCCACAUGGGUGCUGGGACGCGGAAGGGUUGGCUCCAUAGGAAGUUUGACAUCAAGUAUGGGAACUAG